AUUGAACGCUGGCGGCAGGCCUGACACAUGCAAGUCGAGCGAGCGGCGGACGGGUGAGUAAUGUAUGGGGACUGCCCGAUAGAGGGGGAUAACUACUGGAAACGGUGGCUAAUACCGCAUACUAUCGGAUAACCCAUAUGGGAUUAGCUAGUAGGUGGGGUAAAGGCUCACCUAGGCGACGAUCUCUAGCUGGUCUGGGAGGAUGAUAAGCCACACUAGGACGGAGCAAAGGCCCAGACGCCUACGGAGGCAGCAGUGGGGAAUAUUGCACAAUGGGCGCGAUCCUGAUGCAGCCAUGCCGCGUGUAUGAAGAAGGCCUUAGGGUUGUAGAGGACUUGCAGCGGGGAGGCGUUGCCCGCAGGAGAAGCACCGGCGAACUCCGUGCCAGCAGCCGCGGUAAUUC
rnacentral:rRNA from 1 species